ACAACCCGCCGGUCCCUCCCGGUGUGACGGUGCGGGAGCGGUUGCGGGACGCGGAGGUGGAGAGGGAAGGCCUGCUCGCCAGGCUGGAAGCCGUGGAUGAGCGCAUCGCGGAUCUGGAAGCUCAACUUCCCUAGACAUCUUCGACGCGGGAUUAGCCCGUGUCUGAUUGUAUUCUUAUUUCCGCCUUAAUGUGAAACUGUUUAUUCGCAUAUUGCCUUGUGUUGCUCCUGUGUUUGAGUUUGUUCCUGCGAUAAGGUUUUAAAGCGAAACAAAACACGUAGUAAAAUGAGGUUGGUGGCCCCCAAAUAUUGGGCGCGGCCAAUAAUGAAGGAAUUAAAAAUUAUGCAUAAAAUGAAAAUGUGCCUCCCAGGUAUUGGACGCAGCCAAUAAUGAGGGAAGUAAAAUUUUGAAUAAAAUGAAAAUGUGCCCCCCAAGUAUUGGACGCGGCCAAUAAUGAGGGAAGAUAAAAAUUUUGAAUAAAAUGAAAAUG
rnacentral:lncRNA from 1 species